rnacentral:sRNA from 1 species
GCUGUUUUCCAAAGUCAGAAUUUAUCCAAAGAGCCAUCUCACGUAUCACAUAAUGCAUUUUAACUUUGGUG